GCCAAUUGGUAUGAUUUCCUA
rnacentral:miRNA from 1 species